UUGCAUUUUAAAUGGCACUUACCCCAAGCACUUGCAGCACCCAUAGACGCUAAAAAUAAAAGAAAAAAUGACAAUUAAAACAAGCUUGUUCUUGCAAAUUAAAUGUAUACCAAGAUAUGUAGAUUCUAACCAGUUAAAUAUUAUGACGUGUGCAAAAAUUGAAACAAAUUGUGUUAAUGAAACAAAACAAUAUGACGUAUGUUUAGACCACAGAGUAACUGCGUGCCCAUCUCUCUAGUUAAACUUUGUAGAUUGGGGUCGACAAAAAGGCGAUUGUAGAUUUCAAAAUCAUAUGUUGGUUCAACAAUAAGCUAUCUGUGUAUUUCGCUGUAUGUAUUAUAGGUUCAAGUUAUGUAUUCAGUCGUGCGGUCUUUGGAAAGAUUAAACAAUUUGCAUUGUUAACAUUGCAAAAUCUAAUGUUAUUACAAACUUUAGCAUCGAAUUUUUCCCCAUUUCUCCCAAACAUGUAGACAAUUUUCUAAAUGGUUAAAAA
rnacentral:lncRNA from 1 species